rnacentral:lncRNA from 10 species
UUUUUUUCCUUAAAAAUUAACUACAUGUGAUCUGGAAAAAAGAAAAAAGCAUUUAAAUCAACCAAAUACGAACGAAGGAAAAAUUACACAAGGGCUCUUAAGAAUUACCAAGGGCUCUUAAGAAUAUUAAUCCCAUUCAUGAGGGCUCUACUCUCAGGACCUUAUCUAAUUCUAAUUACCUCCCCAAAGACCCUAUCUCCCAAUACCGUCACAUUAGAGAGUAGGGUUUCACUAUGUAAAUUUUGGAGGGACACAAGCAUUUAAUCCAUAGCAGCUUCUUUAAUCUGCAGCAUUCCCACAAUCUUUGUCUUUUAUGAUGUUGAUGUUUAGAAAUGAAUAUAUUUCUCCUUCUGUGCUUUUUGGAUGUUUUACUGUGAUUAGUUAUUUAUUCUUAGUUAAGAAUAUUGAAUCAGUGAUGUGGUGUCCCCCUUAGGAUAUCACAUUUUAUUUCACCCUUGUAACUAAUAAACAGUCUCUGAGGUGACACUUUAGGAACACACAAAUAUCUUGCCCAUCAUCAAAACUUCCCCCCAGAUUUAGCAGCUAUUAGUGAUUCUUGCCUGGCACAAUAUUUAUUAUGGUGAUCAUAAAAUGAGCAAUUCCCUAACUCUAACCUGACCUCAACAAUUAUUGGUCAAGUCUCAGUAUUUACUGUAAGUAAGAAUCUAUUUGUUUUUUAAUUCAUCAAUCUAUCUAUUACCAGUGUGGGAUUAUCAUUUUCUAUGUUUUAGUAGCUCAUAAUUUAUAACUAUAGUUAAUUAUUUUGAUGCUCACAUAUCCCAGAUUUGGCCAGUGGAAGCCUUUUCAAACAGUGACUCCCAUGCCACUGAAGUUUUUUUCUUUUUUACCACUGAAGUUUUCUUUUUUUUUAAGUAUUUCUUUUCUUUGUUUUUUUCCUUUUCUUAAAAAAAAAAACUGUACUGAUUUCAGUUCUUAUCUUUAUUAAUUUAUCUCUUGUACUUCGUUAGGUUUAAUUCGGUCUUCAUCCUCUACUUCUUUCUUAAGGCUUAAGCUUAGAUAAUUGCUUAUAGACAUUGUUUUUCAACAUAAGCAUUGAAAACUAUACCACCCAUCACAGCUUUAGCCAUAUUCCACACAUUUUGAUGUUCUGUAUUCAUUUAUAUUCACGUAUAUUUUCCCUGUUGAUUUCCUCCUGGAUCCAUUAAUUAUUUGGAAGUGUGUAAUGUUUAGUUACAAGUUUCAAAGGUAUCAAAGAUAUCUUUCUGUUAUUGGUUUCCGAUUUACUUCUGUGGUCACAGAAUAUACUCCAUAUACACUUCAAUCUUCAUAAUUUACUGAGAAUUAUUUGUGGCCCAGCCUGUGGCCCACCUUAAGCAUUCCAUUUGCAUUUGAAAGGGUUAUUUUCUGCUCCAGUUGAGUGUUGUGCUCUACAAGGGUCAACUAGUUCAAGUUGGUUGACCACGCUAUUCAAACCUUCUCUAUUAUUACCGUUUCUCCUUGACAAUUAUUAAGUAUUAAACCAAAUAUUAGAGUAGUGUUUUGAAAUCUCAAUCAUAAUUAUGGAUUUUACUUCUUUCAGUAAUGCUAAAUUUUGCUUUAUGUAUUUUGAAACACUGUUAUUGUACAUACACACUUUGGAUUGUUGUCUUGUAGAUAAUUAACUCUUUUAUCAUUAUAAAAUUUUCCUCUUUAUCACUAGAAAUAAUCCUUAUUCUGAAGACUAUUUUUACUGAUAUUACACAGCCACUCCAGCUCUCGUGUGAUUAUUCUUCAUCUUAAAUAUGUCAACCUGGGGAAGUUGAAGACAGGAACGAUGGAAGCAUCACCAAAUUUUAGAGCAGAAAUUGACUCUGGAGACUGUCCAGUCCAGCCCUUUCAUUUUGUAGUUGAAAAACUGGUGCCCAGAGACACAAAAGUCUGCAUCCAGCCCCUCAGCUAACAAGUGAUAGAUUGGAUUUGAGAACCCAGCUUAUUUACUCCUCAUCUGGUGCUGUUUUCAUGCUCUUGUCUCCCUCUAGAAAGA